rnacentral:rRNA from 1 species
UACGAAGGGUGCAAGCGUUACUCGGAAUUACUGGGCGUAAAGCGUGCGUAGGUGGUGAGUUAAGUCUGUCGUGAAAGCCCCGGGCUCAACCUGGGAAUGGCGAUGGAUACUGGCUCGCUAGAGUGCGGUAGAGGAGAGUGGAAUUCCCGGUGUAGCAGUGAAAUGCGUAGAGAUCGGGAGGAACAUCAGUUGCGAAGGCGGCUUUCUGGACGGUAACUGACGCAUGAGACGGCGAAAGCAGUGG